AAAAGGUAACGAACUUAGAUAAAAACUUUUGCACAAAGCUCUUCACAAUAUUCUGUCAAAAUGACAAUACAAAAUUAAUAAAUUAAAUGGAAGGUUAAAAUUGGAAAAAUUGCGAGGAGUUUACAAAUAUAACCAUGUUUUUAAGAACAUAAGCUUUCUCCUUGUUCUUCCGAAUAAGUCUGGUAAUAUCUUUAAAUUUAUGUAAAUGAGAAUGUAACAUGUGCAUCCUUAGAGGCAUUAUACAUCUGAUGAUAGGUAAAUAGCCCUAUAAUUUCAAUGCACAUCUGCCAUAAAACUGUUCGGAGCUUUCUUCACCUCAUUGCUAAGUAAUUUCGGGAAAAUAUCACCAUCCAUAAUUUAUUUUAGCCUUAAAAAAAAACUUGACAUAUUUUAACUUAAUUAAUGUUGUCAAAAUAGCUAUUAGUUAUUAUAAAAAAGAGAGGAAAUAAACUAACCUUUCAAAAUAUAUCUACAAAAGUUACAUGACACAUGUGGAGCCUAUUUUUUGUCCUGAUUUUUAACAGGUAGAUUGAAGAAGCAAAAUUAUGACGGAUUACUGCAUUGUGCUAACACAUACUGUCGUACACAACGGGCGAUGCAAGCAACACUAUCUCUCGUGCUCUUUCCGUGUUUUUGACAGCAACAGCGCGCGAAGACCGACAUUGUACGGCGCGAAAAUCAAAAAUGGUCAAAUCGCCAUAAUUGCUUAAAAAGCAAAUAUUUUCGAUUUGUAAUCAUCCCAUAUAUAUUUUCUUAUAUAACCAGAAUAUAUUUAGUAAAACCAAUGCGC